GAUGAACGCUGGCGGCGUGCCUAAUACAUGCAAGUCGAGCGAACAGACGAGGAGCUUGCUCCUCUGACGUUAGCGGCGGACGGGUGAGUAACACGUGGAUAACCUACCUAUAAGACUGGGAUAACUUCGGGAAACCGGAGCUAAUACCGGAUAAUAUAUUGAACCGCAUGGUUCAAUAGUGAAAGACGGUUUUGCUGUCACUUAUAGAUGGAUCCGCGCCGCAUUAGCUAGUUGGUAAGGUAACGGCUUACCAAGGCAACGAUGCGUAGCCGACCUGAGAGGGUGAUCGGCCACACUGGAACUGAGACACGGUCCAGACUCCUACGGGACGCAGCAGUAGGGAAUCUUCCGCAAUGGGCGAAAGCCUGACGGAGCAACGCCGCGUGAGUGAUGAAGGCCUUCGGAUCGUAAAACUCUGUUAUUAGGGAAGAACAAAUGUGUAAGUAACUAUGCACGUCUUGACGGUACCUAAUCAGAAAGCCACGGCUAACUACGUG
rnacentral:rRNA from 1 species